CAGGACCCCUAGUUCAAAUUCCAACCUUUGCCACUUAUUACAGUCAUUAUACACAUUUUGCUCUCCAUCUGCACUCUAUUGUCUCAGGUUCUCUCAUCCCCAGUGGUAUCAUGGAGCUUAGGUCUAUAAUAGCAUAUUUUCCAGGCCCUCUACAGAACAUACCUUGUUGGUGGGUUUUCCAGCUUUAUGUAUUCUAUCUACUUCAAAAUGUCCGGUCCUCUAAGCCUCUUGAUUCCCUCCUCCUCAAUAUGGCACAGAGUUUCUUGCAUUUCUACUUUAUUUAGUGGAAAAUUUCACUUGUUCCAAGAACUCAGAAUAUUCCAAGUUCACCCUAACAGCAUGUUAGUUGUAUCUACCAAAAUUCUAAUCAUGGCAUUAAAUAUCAUAUCGCAGAAAAGUACUCCCAUAUUAACAAACUCUCUCUAACAUGAAUUUAUGUUUCCUUUUGUUGCAGUCCCCUUUUCCCCUGUUCAAUGAGGUACAGCCUCUUGUCCCACGACCAAGAAGAACAAGGCACGCAGACACCAGUGGUUGUAAUGAGGACUGGGCUCAGCUAUACAGUUUUUCAUCAGGGUCUCUCAUGCAGUUGCUGUCGUAUAGUAUUGAAGAUGAAGUCAGCUUGGAGACUUUCUCACUCACAAGUCUGGUGAUUGCUGCUGUCUGCUGGCUGUGACGUCAGCUAGGGCUAUAUGCCUGGACACCUCCUACACAUGAUCCCACGACGUGGCCUGGACUUCCUCACAGCAUGAAGGAUGGAUUCCAAGAGCAAAAGUCUGAAGACACACAGUCAGGCAGAUGCCGUAUUGCCUUGUUAUGCUAAGCCUCAGGAGUCAGAGUCACAAAAACCAACAUAUUUUCAAAGUGAGAAUAAACAACCCCGUCUCCUGAUGGAAGCAUGGCAAAGCAUUUGCAAACAUAUUUUAAAGCCACCACCUAAAU
rnacentral:lncRNA from 10 species